rnacentral:rRNA from 1 species
UACGAAGGGGGCAAGCGUUGUCCGGAUUUACUGGGCGUAAAGAGCGUGUAGGCGGCCAAGCAGGUCCGUUGUGAAAACUGGAGGCUUAACCUCCAGACGUCGACGGAAACCGCGUGGCUAGAGUCCGGAAGAGGAGAGUGGAAUUCCUGGUGUAGCGGUGAAAUGCGCAGAUAUCAGGAAGAACACCCGUGGCGAAGGCGGCUCUCUGGUACGUGACUGACGCUGAGACGCGAAAGCGUGGGGAGCGAACAGG